rnacentral:lncRNA from 1 species
CUUAUCCAAAGCCUGGAUUACAUCAUGCUCAAGAAAUUUUGCUUGUUUUGCUUUGUUUCCUAACGGUUCAUGUUAAACAAUACAUAGACGAAUUUGGGUAGACAUCUGGCCUCGAUUGUUUGUACCUGGCUGUGGCUGUUAAGACCCUGAAUAAGCAAAACCAAGUUAUCCUGGUCUUCCUCACAUCCCGGUGGUCUAAAAGACUCAAGAAGGCAAACCCCAAAGCGUAAGCACUGAUCAAGUCUCUGACCCCUCCCCUCGCCACAUUUACUAAUGUUCCCGUGGACAAAGCAAGUCAUACGGCCCAGCUAGAGGCCAAGUUUGAAAGAUAUAGACUGCUCCAUUGAUGGUAGAAGUGGCUAAGAAUUCAUGGCCUUUUUAAUCCACCACACUGUCUAUUAACUCAAUUUCGUUUCUAUAUUUUUAUGUUUGUGCUUUCUUUCCCAUAUUCUUAGUUGGGAUUAGUUGUGGUUUAUAUAUUUCACUGUUUCAGAGAUUUUCUCUCCAGAGAACUGUCUUGGAUAAAUUUAUUAGGCCUAAAAUUUUUCUUUGUGUGUGUAUAAAAUAUAGAUGUAUUUUAUUUAUUAUAUAUAAUAUAUAUUUGUAAUCUGUAUCACUGUCACCACAGGGGCUUAUUGAAAAUAAUGAUGAUCUACUGAAUCUAAAUUAGUGAGAGCAGAUCCUAGGAAUCUGCAUUUUAAACUCAAGUCUUGUCUAGUGAAACAGUGCAAUGUUCUAUGAGGUCUUCUCAUGAGUUUUGUCUCUGAGUCUUCCAUCAUCAG